AGCAGGUGUUCAUAAGGUUUUGUAUUUAGAGUAAAACCUUGUAUCUGUAUGUUAAUGAUACAUCUUAGUUUUACAGAUCGUAUAAUGUCUUGCACAAGAUCAACCGGCUAUAUACUCUAUGUAUGGACAAUAGAAAGCCAAGUAUUACAGGCCAUUUCUUUUGAGACGUUAGAGCUUUUUUUUGCUGUGAAUGUCUGAAGCUCUCACAACAGGAAAGAUAGGGGUCGGUCAGCACGGAGGACGCUCUCACAACAGGAAAGAGGACGCUCUCGCAACAGGAAAGAUAGGGGUCGGUCAGCACGGAGGACGCUCUCGCAACAAGAAAGGUGGG
rnacentral:lncRNA from 1 species